rnacentral:rRNA from 1 species
UGAGUACGAGAUGCUACGGCAUCGAAGCAGUCUAUGUCAUACUUCCAAGAAAAGCUUGCACUGUCAUAAACAAAGAAUGCCUGUACCAUAACCGACACAGGUGGGUAGGUAGAGUAUACUAAGGGGCGCGAGAUAACUCUCUCUAAGGAACUCGGCAAAAUGACUCCGUAACUUCGGGAGAAGGAGUGCCUUAUUUCUAAGGUUGCAAUAACAAGAUCCAAGCAACUGUUUACCAAAAACACAGGUCUCCGCUAAGUCGUAAGACGAUGUAUGGGGGCUGACGCCUGCCCAGUGCCAGAAGGUUAAAGAAGUUGGUUAGCAUUAGCGAAGCUGAUAACUGAAGCCCUGGUGAACGGCGGCCGUAACAAUAACGGUCCUAAGGUAGCGAAAUUCCUUGUCGGGUAAGUUCCGACCCGCACGAAAGGCGUAAUGAUUUGGAUACUGUCUCGGAGAGGGGCUCGGUGAAAUAGACUUGUCUGUGAAGAUGCGGACUACCUGCACCUGGACAGAAAGACCCUAUGAAGCUUUACUGUAACUUGAGAUUGAAAUUGGACUUUAUUUGCGCAGUAUAGGUGGGAGGCGUUGAGAAUAAUCUUGCGGGAUUGUUGGAGCCAUCAGUGAGAUACCACUCUUGUAAUGUUAGAUUUCUAACUUUGUAUCAUUAUCUGGUCAAAGAACAGUCUCAGGCGGGCAGUUUGACUGGGGCGGUCGCCUCCCAAAGGGUAACGGAGGCGCACAAAGGUUUCCUCUGAACGGGUAGAAAUCGUAUCUAGAGUGUAAAGGCAUAAGGAAGCUUGACUGUGAGACCUACAAGUCGAGCAGGGACGAAAGUCGGUCUUAGUGAUCUGACGGUGCUGAGUGGAAAGGCCGUCACUCAACGGAUAAAAGUUACUCUAAGGAUAACAGGCUGAUCUCCCCCAAGAGUUCACAUCGACGGGGAGGUUUGGCACCUCGAUGUCGGCUCAUCGCAUCCUGGGGCGGUAGUCCGUCCCAAGGGUUGGGCUGUUCGCCCAUGAAAGCGGUACGCGAGCUGGGUUCAGAACGUCGUGAGACAGUUCGGUCCAUAUCCGGUGUAGGCGUUAGAAUAUUGAGAGGAGCCUUCUCUAGUACGAGAGGACCGAGAAGGACAUACCUCUGGUGUACCAGUUAUCGUGCCAACGGUAAACGCUGGGUAGCUAUGUAUGGAGUGGAUAACCGCUGAAAGCAUCUAAGUGGGAAGCCCACCUCAAGAUAAGUA